UUGCUUGGAACUGCUACGGACUUUAAAAUGCCGAGAGACGAUUAAAGAAAAGAUUUUAAGGGGAGGUGAAUUCAAAGCUGGGUUCGAAGUGAAAUUGAGACUUGACUGCUUGUGCAGGCAUGGUUUGAUUCGCAGAGAUGCUUUCAAAGUGUUGUGGAAAGAGCCGAGGUUGAUUGUAUAUCAGAUAGGGGAGAUUGAGAGGAAGAUUGAUUUCUUGUUGAGCGAUAUGAACUAUGAAGUGGAGUGUCUAGUCGAGGUGCCUGAGUUUUUAGGUGUGAAUUUUGAAAAACAAAUCCUUCCUCGAUACAAUGUGAUCAAGUACUUAAGAUCCGUUGGGGGACUAGGCGAUCCAGUAGGCUUGCAAAAUUUGAUAAAGCCUAGCACACUUAAAUUUUAUAACUUAUAUGUCAAGCCAUAUCCAGAGUGCGAAAAGAUUUUCAGAUGUGAAGCAGACAAAGCUGAGAAGCAGCAUCCAGUGGGACUGUGGAAGCUCUUCAAACCACAAAAGUAUCCCCAGUCCAAGGAUGAUGCAGAAAACAUAAAGUCCUUUAUGGAGUUGGGUGGUUAGGAUGGGACAGUUGUAGCCUCUCAUCCAUUAUUAUACUUCAAACUGAGGAUCGUGAAUGGUUCACAUCUAUUUGAAACAUCUACAGGUACUGCAUGAGCAUGAUCAUUUCUAAUCGGGGUUCAGCACUUAAUUGUUGCAUCUCUAGGAAAUACAUCAUCACCAUGUAUCAGUUUGUUCUUGCCAAUGCGGAGGAGACGUUGAACAAGACACAUUCUGCCCUUCCUUAUUCUGGUCAAGUUGUUUAUAUACUGCUUUCUGCAAAACUAUGUGAAACUUAUAAAAUGAGUAAAAAGUCAUUAUGUAACACGAUAUUGAUGACAAUUAUGCAGCUGGAUUGUGAAAAAAAUUUUGAUUUUCCAGUUUAAAUCCGUGGCACUAAUUUCAUAGAUAUGUUUAGCCCUAAACUCUUGUCCUUUGUCUUGCAAUUUAUUAUCUUGUCAAAUUUUGUCUCAUGAAGCUGCUCCUUGUUUACUUUACCUUAUCAAUUUUCAUAAGCUGGCAUUGCUCCCGUAGCGAAGUUUAUUGUUGUAAAAUCUUUUGGUGAGGAUGUCAAUUCUGUUGCAGGUAUGAAGCCUUUCAGAGAGAAAUUUGACAUGCCUGGUCCUGAAACUGUUGCUUUAGUGGGAACUAUUAGACUAGAUACGUUAGUUUUAAUACAUUUCUGAUGAAGUUGUUUGUGAUAUUCAUGUUUAUUACGGCUUACAUAUCUGUAUCUUUACUUCUAUGAAACAGUACUCAGUGGACAAACUCUCUUGUUAUUAUUGUUUCUAAGUUCACUAUAUUCUUGAUGUUUUUCUUGGAAUUUGUAUUGAGUAUCGAGGUAUCAAGAAAAUAACCAACUAAGUAUAUACAAAUCAUGAAAUGCGAUGAAUUUAUUACUGUUCAGCAAGUGUAUUAUUGAUGAUAGAUAUCAAUAGGCGCAGCUCCUGAGACUCAUGUAGGAGUAGCUUUGCAGGUGGUCUUAUCAGUUUAAGGCUUCUUAGAGUGUUGUGUCCUUUCUCCAAGCAGGAUAGACUGAUUGAAUAAUUCUUGCAAGUGACAAUGUGAGCUUAAUAACUGGGCAGGAUUUUUCUUUAUAUUGCUUUUCAUCAUUUGCAGCUUUAUUUACUAACUUUUGAUGGCCCAUAUACACCUAUGACUGUGCUGUCAAACUGAUUAAAUGUCCAUAAGUGCAAUGCACCCUAGAGACAUGAUCUUUAAUCUACUACAUAAUUAGAUUGGACUAUGUAGGCUUUUUCCUCAAAUUAAGAUAAUUUGUUGAAUAUUCUCUCUGCUUAGACCUGAUAGACCUGAUCCGGUUGUUUAGUCUGCUCAAUCCCAUUACAGUAUAUGUUGAUGGGUUUUCAAUUGUUUUCAUAACAGACUUCUUACGACAGAUGCAAGGGAAAUUUCAAAUGGUGGUUGUCAGGCGUCCUGGCCAAGCCAUUCAGAUCCCGGGGAUUCGGCCGUGGAGAUCUUGAAUCUAGAGCGCCCUUGAUGGCUGAAGGCUGCAAAUACAAUAUCCACGCAUCCUGUCGGUCUGGUUGGGCUCGUCAAAUAGUUCUUCUAAGGAAAAAAGAUAAAUAAUUCUCCAAUUUUGGUCUAAUAUGUAGUAUCAUUUUUUAACUUUCAAUUU